UACGGAGGAUGCGAGCGUUAUCCGGAUUUAUUGGGUUUAAAGGGUGCGUAGGCGGUUUAUUAAGUUAGUGGUUAAAUAUUUGAGCUAAACUCAAUCAUGCCAUUAAUACUGGUAAACUGGAGUUCAGACGAGGUAGGCGGAAUAAGUUAAGUAGCGGUGAAAUGCAUAGAUAUAACUUAGAACUCCGAUAGCGAAGGCAGCUUACCAGACUGAAACUGACGCUGAUGCACGAGAGCGUGGGUAGCGAACAGG
rnacentral:rRNA from 1 species